GUGGGGAAUAUUGCACAAUGGGGGAAACCCUGAUGCAGCGACGCCGCGUGAAGGAAGAAGUAUUUCGGUAUGUAAACUUCUAUCAGCAGGGAAGAAGAAAGACGGUACCUGACUAAGAAGCUCCGGCUAAAUACGUGCCAGCAGCCGCGGUAAUACGUAUGGAGCAAGCGUUAUCCGGAUUUACUGGGUGUAAAGGGUGCGCAGGUGGCAUGGUAAGUCAGAAGUGAAAACCCGGGGCUCAACCCCGCGGAUUGCUUUUGAAACUAUCAGGCUGGAGUCCGGGAGAGGUAAGCGGAAUUCCUAGUGUAGCGGUGAAAUGCGUAGAUAUUAGGAGGAACACCAGUGGCGAAGGCGGCUUACUGGACCGGGACUGACACUGAGGCACGAAAGCGUGGGGAGCAAACAGG
rnacentral:rRNA from 1 species